AUGGUAGGGGUGGAUAGCGAUUAUCUCCAACAGCUUAUUGACCGUGUAUGCCAGCGCCUCAAAGGAUGGAAGGAGAAAAUUCUCUCGAUGUAGGGUAAGGAAAUUUUGCUGAAAUCAAUAGCUCAAGCAAUACCUUUGUAUGCGAUGUCAGUAUUUAAACUGCCCAAAGGAAUCUGCAAAAUCACUGAUGAGAUUGCUGGAUUUUGGUGAAGUGAUAAUGAGGAGAAGAAGAUGCAUUGGUUUGCAUGGUUGAAAUUGUGUGUAUCAAAGAAGAAAGGGGGCUUGGGUUUUAGAGACCUUCACGUUUUUAACCUUGCUUUGUUAGCAAAACAGUGUUGGCAACUAAUCCAAAAUCCAGACUCCUUAUGUGAAUGUGUUUUAAGAGCAAAAUAUUAUCCAGAUGGUAACAUUUUGAAGGCUGGACCAAAGAAGGGUUCUUCAUACACUUGGAAAAGCAUUGUUGUGGGCAUCCAAACUUUUCAACGGGGUUGUAUCUGGCGUGUGGGAUUGGGAGCAAAAAUUGAUAUUAGGCAAGACCCAUGA
rnacentral:rRNA from 1 species